CAAACAUGGCUCUCUUCUAUACUCGGUGUCUUCAAGACCUACCUCGUCUGAAUAUUAACGAUGUGGACAGACUAGUGAAGAAGUCUUGCACCACUCCCUCCAGUAAACGGGAAAAGGGAUUUAAGAUGUAUAUCGCCAGCUACAUCGAUAAUUACGAGGAUGGUGUUAAAACACUCAAAACCAGUUGUUUUGGUGAGCAGCCAUUGUUCCUGUGUGGCGGGCUGUGCCUUAUGCAAUCAUUUGGUUGCACUCCUGUAUCAGACUGCCCACAAUUCACAGCUAAGCAUUCCUGCUGUUCCCCCCGUGCACAGCUGCACAGACACAGAGCAGAUCUGGCACAAACCGAGGACACUGGGUGUGAGGCCAGGCCCAGUUGGAGAAAUGGAGUUUCGAAAACCCAAAAAUUCAACUGCAGACUGUGUAAGAAGUUCUCUCUACAAGGCGGUGGAUGGGGAACUGC